UACGUAGGGACCGAGCGUUGUCCGGAAUCAUUGGGCGUAAAGAGCGUGUAGGCGGCCACUUAAGUCCUGCGUGAAAUCUUGCGGCUCAACCGCAAGCGGUCGUGGGAAACUGGGUGGCUAGAGUGCGGGAGAGGAGAGUGGAAUUCCUGGUGUAGCGGUGGAAUGCGCAGAUAUCAGGAAGAACACCCGUGGCGAAGGCGGCUCUCUGGAACGCAACUGACGCUGAGACGCGAAAGCGAGGGGAGCAAACAGG
rnacentral:rRNA from 1 species